rnacentral:lncRNA from 1 species
AGAUAUGAAAUAUUGUUGUGGUUAGUAGGAGAGGAGAAAAAGAAGGUAUUUUAGUAAUGAUUUUCCUAAUGGAAAAGUAGAGGCAAUACUCCAGUCAUCACUCAGGGUCGUAGAUUUAGAGGUAGAAGGGACAUCCAGUCCAAAACCACUCCCUCCUCCUUUUUUUUUUUUAACAGAUGAGGAAACUUAGGUUCCAAGAGAUUAAGUGAAUUUCCUGAGGUCACCCAGGUCGUAAAUGACAGAGCAAGAAUUGAAUCUAAAUCCUCUGCUUCCCAAUGCAGUCCUCUUUUCCCUGCAUCCCUCUGUCUCUGCUCCAGAUUUUUGCCAUUCAGGACAUUAACUCAGAUUGUUUCCAUAUGCAGUGCUUUCUCUGCAGUUGCUCAUGUUCCAUUCAAAAAAGGAGGUCACCUUGGAAAAAGAGAAGCUUUUUGAAUACAGCCCUAAGGACAGUCGAGGAGUUGGCCAAGGAGCUCUAUGGAGACACAGGGGAUUGCAAUACGGUCGUCAUGAAUAGAUGACUCAGUUUCCUGAAAAAGAAGAUUGUCUACCAAUGGCCUAAGAACAAUUUUGGAAGACCAGGAUGGUGAGGGAUCACUUCCCUGAGAGAACUCAGUACUUCCAAAGGAGCUGUUGCUGGAAGUAGAACCCAGGUACUUUCUAUAAUAGUCA